rnacentral:rRNA from 1 species
GGGAAACAGCCCAGACUACCAGUUAAGGCCCCUAAAUAAUUACUAAGUGGUAAAGGAUGUAUUAGUACAUAGACAACUAGGAGGUUGGCUUAGAAGCAGCCAUUCCUUUAAAAAGUGCGUAAUAGCUUACUAGUCAAGUGCUUUUGCGCCAAAAAUGAAUGGGACUAAGUAAUUUGCCGAAACUGUAGGAUUAAUAUUAAUCGGUAGAAGAGCGUUCUGUUUUAGGUUGAAGCAAUAUUGAAAAGUUUUGUGGACUAUUCAGAAGUGAGAAUGUCGGCUUAAGUAACGAAAACAUUGGUGGAAAUCCAAUGCCCCGAAAACCUAAGGUUUCCUUCGCAAGGUUCGUCCACGAAGGGUUAGUCAGAAUCUAAGGUGAUGUUUAAUAACGUAGCCGAUGGUUAACAGUUUAAUAUUACUGUACUAUAUAUUGUUCUUUUAAGAGUGACGGAGGAAACUAUAUCAUCCAAAGAUUGGUUGUUUUGGUUUAAUUAUUUAAGGCGUUGAGAAAUGUGAAAAAAUAUAUUUUGAGCUUAGAAUAAGAAUACGAUUGACGCUACGGUGUUAAGAGUGAUUUAUGUUAUACUUCCAAGAAAAGCUUUUAUAAUUUUAGCUGUAUAUAACUGUACUAAAUCCGACACAGGUAGGUUAGUAGAGAAUACUAAGGGGAUCGAGAUAACUCUUUUCUAAGGAACUCGGCAAAAUGGCUCUGUAACUUCGGGAGAAAGAGUGCCUUAUUUUAUUUAAGGUUGCAACGACCAGGUCCAUACGACUGUUUAACAAAAACACAAGUCUCCGCUAAGUCAUAAAGACGAUGUAUGGGGGCUGACGCCUGCCCAGUGCCGGAAGGUUAAAGAAAUUGGUUAGCUUAGGCGAAGCUAGUAACUGAAGCCUCGGUGAACGGCGGUAGUAACUAUAACUAUCCAAAGGUAGCGAAAUUCCUUGUCAGGUAAGUUCUGACCCGCACGAAAGGCGUAACGAUAUGGACACUGUCUCAGAAAGAGACUCGGUGAAAUAAAAUUAACUGUGAAGAUGCGGUUUGCUUGCACUUGGACAGAAAGACCCUAUGAAGCUUAAAUGUAGCUUGAAAUUGAUUCCGGAUUUCCUUUGCGCAGAAUAGGUGGGAGACUAAGAUCUAGUCUUUCGGGAUAUAGUGAGUCAUAAUAUGAGAUACCACUCUUAGGAAUUUUGGAAUCUAAUGGUAUUUUUUCAUUAUACUUGACAUUUUCAGGUGGUCAUUUUUACUGGGGCGGUAGCCUCCUAAAAGGUAACGGAGGCGUACAAAGGUUUUUUCAGACUAAAUGGAAAUUAGUUGGUGAGUAUAAAGGCAUAAAAAAGCUUGACUGUAAGACCUAUAAGUCGAGCAGAGACGAAAGUCGGUCUUAGUGAUCCGACGGUGCUGAGUGGAAAGGCCGUCGCUAAACAGAUAAAAGUUACGUGCGACAUGAUAUUUCCUAAUUAUUUUAAGAAUAAAAUAAAGAAAUAGGUUGAUAAAUCUAAAAUUAAAAUAUAUAAUUUUAUCACUAAGCUAUUUAUUGUAGUCAAUGCAAGAUUGACACGCUAAUACUGGCGCUAGACAAUAUUCCUAUAAUUAUAAUGUGACCAAGUUGUAAUAGAAGUAAGCGGGAUAUAAAAAGUUAAGUAAACUAAAACUAACGGUUUACAAAUGAGUCAACGUUUUAUGAGUUAACAAAAACUUCGGUUAAAGGAAAGUUGUGUAUAAAGCCACCAUAAUAUCAAAAGGGUUAUAGAAUGUUUCUGUCUAAUCGUUUAGUGCAGUAGCCCUAUGACGGCAUGUCCGUUUCCCGUUCAAAUAGUUAAUUUAUCGGUAGCUUAGAAGGUAACAUCUAAGUAAGUAUAACCGCGGGGGUGCGCAAAGCAACUAACUCAUAUACCCGGUUUUAAAUAACUGAGUAACAAUAAAUGGAACAUGGUCACCAAGGUUACUUCCAAUAAAAUGGUGAAUGGCUAAAUGAGGUAAAUCUUGGGCAGGAUGAGGCACCAAGCGAAUGGUCUUAUGUAAUAUAAGACAUAUGCUAAAUUGUCUCACAUUAAGAGGAAAUCUUAGGGCGAAAUAUUAUAUUCCACAAAUAUAUUAUAACAAUACUACUUAGUUAUAUGCAAUUACAAACGUACUUGAACAUAAUAAAGAAAGUAUAUGAAAAUAUGAUUUGUUAAAUAUUUUAAGACAUUAAUCUUAUUACUAAGAACAAACUAUAUCUUCUCAGUUAGAGAAAAAGUUCACCUUUUAAUGAGUAGCUGUAUGACAGGCGACUGUCAUGUACAGUUUCGAAGGAGAAGCAAUGAAGAGUAACGUCAAUUCGUUGUUGAAGCCCAUUGCUCACUCUCUAACUCUAGGGAUAACAGGCUGAUCUCCCCCAAGAGUUCAUAUCGACGGGGAGGUUUGGCACCUCGAUGUCGGCUCAUCGCAACCUGGAGCGGUAGUACGUUCCAAGGGUUGGGUUGUUCACCCAUUAAAGCGGUACGUGAGCUGGGUUCAGAACGUCGAGAGACAGUUCGGUCCAUAUCCGGUGUGAGUGUUAGAGUAUUGAAAAUAUCUUCUCUUAGUACGAGAGGACCAGAGAGGACAUACCUAUGGUGUACCAGUUUUUGUGCCAACAGAAUACGCUGGGUAGCUACGUAUGUUGUGGAUAACUGC